UACGUAGGGUGCAAGCGUUAAUCGGAAUUACUGGGCGUAAAGCGUGCGCAGGCGGUUUUGUAAGUCUGACGUGAAAUCCCCGGGCUUAACCUGGGAACUGCACUUGUGACUGCAAGGCUGGAGUACGGCAGAGGGGGAUGGAAUUCCGCGUGUAGCAGUGAAAUGCGUAGAUAUGCGGAGGAACACCGAUGGCGAAGGCAAUCCCCUGGGCCUGUACUGACGCUCAUGCACGAAAGCGUGGGGAGCGAACAGG
rnacentral:rRNA from 1 species